rnacentral:rRNA from 1 species
AUUGAACGCUGGCGGCAUGCUUUACACAUGCAAGUCGAACGGUAACAGGCCUUCGGGUGCUGACGAGUGGCGAACGGGUGAGUAAUGCAUCGGAACGUACCUUUCAGUGGGGGAUAACGUAGCGAAAGUUACGCUAAUACCGCAUAUUCUGUGAGCAGGAAAGCAGGGGAUCGCAAGACCUUGCGCUGAUUGAGCGGCCGAUGUCAGAUUAGCUAGUUGGUGAGGUAAAGGCUCACCAAGGCGACGAUCUGUAGCGGGUCUGAGAGGAUGAUCCGCCACACUGGAACUGAGACACGGUCCAGACUCCUACGGGAGGCAGCAGUGGGGAAUUUUGGACAAUGGGGGCAACCCUGAUCCAGCCAUGCCGCGUGAGUGAAGAAGGCCU